rnacentral:tRNA from 1 species
AAAAAGAUAAGCUAAAUAAGCUUUUAGGUUCAUACCCUAAUUAUAAAGGUAAUACCCCUUUUCUUUUUA